rnacentral:rRNA from 1 species
UUGUUUGGAGAGUUUGAUUCUGGCUCAGGACGAACGCUGGCGGCGUGCUUAACACAUGCAAGUCGAACGGAAAGGCCCUUCGGGGUACUCGAGUGGCGAACGGGUGAGUAACACGUGGGUGAUCUGCCCUGCACUUUGGGAUAAGCCUGGGAAACUGGGUCUAAUACCGAAUAUGACCAUGCGCCUCCUGGUGUGUGGUGGAAAGCUUUUGCGGUGUGGGAUGGGCCCGCGGCCUAUCAGCUUGUUGGUGGGGUAAUGGCCUACCAAGGCGACGACGGGUAGCCGGCCUGAGAGGGUGACCGGCCACACUGGGACUGAGAUACGGCCCAGACUCCUACGGGAGGCAGCAGUGGGGAAUAUUGCACAAUGGGCGCAAGCCUGAUGCAGCGACGCCGCGUGAGGGAUGACGGCCUUCGGGUUGUAAACCUCUUUCAGCACAGACGAAGCGCAAGUGACGGUAUGUGCAGAAGAAGGACCGGCCAACUACGUGCCAGCAGCCGCGGUAAUACGUAGGGUCCGAGCGUUGUCCGGAAUUACUGGGCGUAAAGAGCUCGUAGGUGGUUUGUCGCGUUGUUCGUGAAAACUCACAGCUUAACUGUGGGCGUGCGGGCGAUACGGGCAGACUUGAGUACUGCAGGGGAGACUGGAAUUCCUGGUGUAGCGGUGGAAUGCGCAGAUAUCAGGAGGAACACCGGUGGCGAAGGCGGGUCUCUGGGCAGUAACUGACGCUGAGGAGCGAAAGCGUGGGGAGCGAACAGGAUUAGAUACCCUGGUAGUCCACGCCGUAAACGGUGGGUACUAGGUGUGGGUUUCCUUCCUUGGGAUCCGUGCCGUAGCUAACGCAUUAAGUACCCCGCCUGGGGAGUACGGCCGCAAGGCUAAAACUCAAAGAAAUUGACGGGGGCCCG